UUCUUCCCCUCGCCUCCCCUCCCCUCCCCGCGCCCGCGCGCGCUCUCUCUUCCUCUCCCAGGGUUCAUUCACAUUAUUGGAGUGAAGGAAGCCGAGGAAAGGCUUCCCCAGGAGGACCGAAGGGAAAGCGCGUCUCCAGCCACCUCUCUUACCAUCCCAGGACAUCCGGCCUCCCCUCCGACGGCCCUGCGGAUUCUUUAAUUUGUGGAGGAGGGCGUGGGUGGGUGUGUCCCUCCUUUCCCCUCUGUGCCUGUUCACCUGGUGAUGAAGGUGAGUGUGGGAGUGCGUGUUCAGGUCAGAAUUCCUGAAACCCCAGAUGUGGGUCACAGCUGCCAGACCCUGCAAGCCACGCCAGGCCCGGGCCAGGCCCCACCCCAACCCAGGUGGCUCCUGCUCCUCCAGAUCCCCUUGCAGGACCUGGAAGGACCCAGACUUGGGGUUGAGGGAGAAGGGCGAUGCCAGCGAGAGGUCCUUUGGGGAGAACACAGGGUCCCUGCUUUCUAGAGUGGUGGCAAGGCUGAGAUUGAAGAUGGGGCGCUCCUCCAUGCUCACAUUUUUGAGGGUCUAUUACUACUGGAGUCCAGGAACACUCCAGUUGUGUUAGAUUCCAACACUCCACCCGCCAGCCUUUUCCCUCUCUCUCCCAGCCGCUUCGCAAUACCUUUAUUUCGUUUUGCCUUUUGCUCUACUCGAGCUUAACUGGCUUUCCCUCACCUGGCCUUUAUUGCCAGCCUCUGCCCCCCGAGCCCUGCUGGCUUCACUUAAUUGUCUUUGCUGCUGGCCAUGAUCCCAACCUGGACACCCUCCCUUCUCCAGGGAGCCGGUGCUGGCUCCUCCUUCCAGACCCAGCUCCAAAGCCCUCCCUCCAGGAGGUUCUCAGGGCCCAGCAUCAGGAGGUGCAGCGCCCUUUGACCUUACAUGUCCAGGUGGUCCUGUUGUUGGCAUCCCUGGCUGCAUUGGACCCCAGGAUAUGGAAAAAGGUAUAGGGAGUCUGCUAUUCUUGCAAGAUGAAGCUUAACUUUCUUUGUGGCACCUUCCCUGGUCCCCACUCCCCGUGUUAAAAUCACUGUUCUCUGUCCCACGAGAUUGUGAGCCUUUCCUAUGACUAGCACACAUACUAGCAUAAAUGUUUGCUGAGUGAGAGGUGUUUCUUGCCACUUGGACAAUUAUAGUCUAAUUGGGAGGAAUAGAUCAUAUACAUAAAGGGGAAAAACCAACAUCACAAGGUGACAGAGCCUGAGGACCAGACUGGCUGCGCCAGUAAUUGUUUAUUGGCCCCCUCUGCCCCUUGGGGUGUCUAUUCUGCUUUCCAAGUCACGAAGGACAAGUCUCAUCACCUCUAAUUUACUUUAACUCACCUGCUACCGGGUCUGGGGUUUUGCACACAGCAGGUGCCCGACGUAUGUCUAAGUGGACCAGAAGGUGUGAGAUGGGUUUGCUGUGACCCAGAACAGGGCUACCCACCUCCAACCCUAACAGCCACUAGGAUUAAGUCUUGGUUCUGUUCUCAGAAACUCCAGGAAAAUGAAUCCCGUUCUUCUCUCCUUCUCCUCCCCCUCCUCCUCCUUCCCCUCCUCCUCCUCCUCCUCCUCCUCUUCCUCCUUCUCUUCUUCUUCUCCUUUCUUCUUCUUUUUCUAACAAAUCAUUGUUUCAAAUUAAAUCAUAAAUGGAAGCCCAAUUAAACAAACCAGGUCUCCCAUCAAUUAGCCCUAUAGGUAAGGGCUGGCAUGGCUCUGGCUGAAUAAGGGGCUCAGGGCACUGCAGUCCCCAAAGCACCUCUCUAGACCCAUUCCACAAAGCAUGGUGUGAAAACCCAUUUCCUGAGCCAGCCACUGGGUUACUCAGGAACAUCCCCCUCCACCCUGUCCCACUUGCAGCCUUCGUCGGGGACUUUGGGAGAAACGAAUGUAUGUUGCAUGAACCUGCUCUUCAGGGGUGGAGAGCAGCAGCUUCCCCCAUUCACCUAUGAGAUGGCAGAGAUGACACUUAGGUGGAGGGGCCCUCCUCCAAGCAAGCAGUCCUCAUGUUCAUCCCAUGGGAGACAAAACCGAAAUCUUCCUUCAUCAGAACCUUGGUAGACCAGCUCUCACUCCUCCACUUACAGAAAAGUGUGCGGGAGAGUUGAGAAUGCACUGGACCAGAAGCCAAGACAGUCACCUUCGCAUGCUGGCUCUGCAACUAACUAGCAAGCUGCGCUUGGUCCUGCGGUUAUGAGGGUGUAGACUGUGGAGUCGCAUAAGGACUUGACCGCCGGCACAGGGAGCUGGAGCAAACCCAAGACUGACUGAGACCAUUCAUCAUGCCUGGACAGAGCCUUAAUGAGCCCAGAGCCCUGAAGAAUCCCAGCUCCGUGGUGAGGCAGCCAGGCGGCGGCCAUGGGAGGGGAAGACGGUAUUAGGGUGCUCACGUUGCGUAACCUGCACGUCCAAGCGGCCAAGCCAGCUGCAUCUGCAGCCCGGACGAGAAGACGGGAGAGGCCCUCCACCAACCAGGGGAACGCAGUCACUUUCUGCAGCAACUCCCAAAGCCUUUAGAUACCCCAUUCAAGGUGAUGGAAGCUGGAUAUACAGCAUUUAUUUUUCCAGCUCAGCUGUGAUAAAACGGUGGCACACUCACCAUCUCCAUGCCAGGCCAGGACUUAGAAGUGCAGAGAGAAAGGAAAUAGCAUUUUGUGAGUGUCCUCUGGGUGCCAGUCAUUGAGUCCCUCAUUUCAGUUAUCCAUCACAACAACCAUAUAAAGAGGACACUUUUAUCCCCGUUGUGUAAGUGGUGAACUUACAGCUAAACAGAGAGCAAGUCACUGAGCCAGGAUUUGAACCCAGCUCUGCCUGGAGCACAGCUGGGCUCUAUCUGCUACUACACUGCACCCCAGUCCCCGAAGGGCACAGCGGCCACUUUGUCCACUUCUCCUUCCUCCCUUCCUCCGCCUCACAUAUUUAUCCAGAUGAAAUCAAUUUCAAAUGAUGAUCAAAGUCACAUGA